rnacentral:rRNA from 1 species
UGAAGCUUCGGCAGAUUUAGCUGGUUUCUAGUGGCGGACGGGUGAGUAACGCGUGGGUAACCUGCCUUAUACAGGGGGAUAACAGUCAGAAAUGACUGCUAAUACCGCAUAAGCGCACAGGGCCGCAUGGUCCGGUGUGAAAAACUCCGGUGGUAUAAGAUGGACCCGCGUCGGAUUAGCUUGUUGGUGGGGUAACGGCUCACCAAGGCGACGAUCCAUAGCCGGCCUGAGAGGGUGAACGGCCACAUUGGGACUGAGACACGGCCCAGACUCCUACGGGAGGCAGCAGUGGGGAAUAUUGCACAAUGGGGGAAACCCUGAUGCAGCGACGCCGCGUGAAGGAAGAAGUAUCUCGGUAUGUAAACUUCUAUCAGCAGGGAAGAUAGUGACGGUACCUGACUAAGAAGCCCCGGCUAACUACGUGCCAGCAGCCGCGGUAAUACGUAGGGGGCAAGCGUUAUCCGGAUUUACUGGGUGUAAAGGGAGCGUAGACGGACUGGCAAGUCUGAUGUGAAAGGCGGGGGCUCAACCCCUGGACUGCAUUGGAAACUGUUAGUCUUGAGUGCCGGAGAGGUAAGCGGAAUUCCUAGUGUAGCGGUGAAAUGCGUAGAUAUUAGGAGGAACACCAGUGGCGAAGGCGGCUUACUG